UGGGGCUUCCCCAUGUCAGAGGCGAGGCUCAGAGAGGUAAGGGCUCACCCUUUGUCUGCCCUGUUCCCAGUAUGGCCAAGCCGCUCCCAGGGUGCGGGCGAUGGCAGGUCAUUUGUCUCCCUCCUGAGUGAGUCUCUGGACACGGAUUCUCACAUUUUUUAUUUAAGAAUCAGAGAGAUACAAGAAUGUCAAGGAAAAAUCCUCUCAUGGACAAGGCAGCCCCAGUAAAUGACUGUUAGCCGGCAUGACCAGGGCUCCAAAGCCUCAGGAGGUGGCUGUGCUGGGGCUGCCAGGCCUCUGGCUCCAGAGUUGCCCGGGCUGAACUGAACAUACCCACCCCUGCCCAGGCCCAGGGACACCCUGCCCCUGAGGAGACCCCCGGCGUGGCCAGUCCACCUUCUUGGCACUCCCUGCCCACCUACCCCUUCUAGUCGAACAGUGGAGCUCGGGGGGGACAGGGUGGCAGAGUGCCUGAUGGUUGGUGCCAAGGUCAUUUCCCAGGUCCUUGUUGGGGCCAAGAGCCAGGACUCCUUGCCCAUCCCCGUCGCUGCCCUGUGCCCGCCCAGCACCUCCUGGGGACUAGGCUGCCUGUUGGAGCAGGAAACACAGUGCUGGGCUGUGAGCCCCUGGGGCCUGUCUCUGUGCCCCAGGACCAGGCUUCUGGGUUGAGGGAGAGACCAGGGGCAGGUGAGGAGCGGCAGGGCUCCCGGAAUCCCUCCAUGCCCGCCCCUCGGUCUCCAGGACUUGUGUGCACGUACAGGCUGGAGCUGUGGUGCAGUUCCCAGUCUCACCACCAGAUGGCACCAUGCCCCUACAGAAGCAGUGCCCAGCGCAGGCCAGGCGGUUCUCGGGAGCUGCAGUGGGGGCAUCCGCCCAGCCGAAGCUCUGGCAGGGCAGGGGCAGUGCUGGGGGAGCCCCCUUCCCACUUGGAUCCGAAGUUCCCAUGGGGGCCUAGGACAGGGGCUGGCCGGGAAGUCAGAAGUUCCCUUGUUGGGUCGAGGGUGUCUAUCCCACAUUUCAUACGGUGAGGAAUCAUCCCAGACACGCGGGCACUGUCCCGGGGCUGUUUGCUACCCCUCCCAAGGGGCAGGGCUCCUGUCCUGGGGACUUCCCAAGCAUAGUAGCCUUCGGGCAGCCCCAGCCUGGCCCCAAGUUGUCCCACUUGUCAGUGGGCAGCGGGGUCUGGAGGAGGGGUCCUAGCUCCUGUCCAAGGUCGUGACUGCCCCUGACCAGGGUGUGGCAGCCGCUGUGGCCUGGGUCAGUGAGGCUGUGGCCAGAGAGUGGCCCGGGUGUAGGCGCUGCUCUCAGCUAAGAGACAGCCCAUCUGGAGGAAGAACCAGGAACCAGAGGUUCCCAGCCCACAGGAGGCCAGCUUAGGGUCAAUAGGGGCCCCCCGGCAGGGACUGCAAGAGGCAAACCACAUGGAGAGUCACCUGAGAGGGAAUGAUGGAGGCUGGGGGAGGUGGAGCCCCCACCUCCAACUGCUGCCUCGGCCCCCACAGCAGGCGAGGGCGGGAGGCUGGCCCUGGCUCUGGCCUGGGAGAUGCCAGCCAGGCCUUGGUCUGGGGCGGAGGGCUGGCCAGGAGGCUGGGUACGGCCACUGCUCUGGAGUGACCACACCAUUUCCACCCUGCUUGCCUCAUUCUUCUCAUGAGGGCCUCAAGGGGACACACCAGAGGUUUACUGGGGGCAGGGCUGGGGAGGGAUCUCAGCACUGGCCUUCUGGGGCCAUGUGUCCGCUCUGCCCCUUUCUGACCUGGACUGGGGCCUCUGCCCUCCCCCGGGCCUGGUGACAGAGCCCUUUUGGAGGCCCUCAGGCCCAACAAGCGUGGUUCUUGGAGCCAGGCUGAGGGCUGGGCUGUAUCCUGGUGGGGUGGCGUGGGGUGGGAGUGAGGCUGGGAGCAGGUCGAGGUUGGUGCCUCAGGCUCUGGGGAACGGGCCUGGGAUGGCUGGAGAGCGGAGGAGAGGCUCUCUCAAUCCUGGGCUUUGGGGUCUGAGCCCAGCCCUGUCCCGAGGCAGGCCGUCCCCUGCAGCUCUGGAUUCCCAUGUUGGUUGGAGUUGCGGUGAGAGGUGCUGGGGCCUCCCUUGCCUCUGCCCAGGACACACAGCUGAGAAGUCAUGCUCUGCUGCCCGACUGUAGGGGUUUCAAGCCCCACUGGGGCCUCCAGGAAACUCAAUCCACAGCUGGAGGCUUGGGCUUCUCCCCAACCCAAAUGGCCCCCAGCCAGCCAGAGAGCCACGACAACCCAGCCGCUAGCACCUGCCAGCAGGAAAACCACUACCAGCUGCUCACAGAUGGACAGCCCAUCCCAGCAGCUGACCCCACCUCCCCGCCCCUCUGCUGACCAACCCAGCAGCUCCUUGGGUGGGUGUGGCCGCCCUGCUGCCCCCACCUGCUCCCGGACCCUGUGCGAAGCGGUGCUUCAACUCAGCGGAGCCUUGCCUCUCUCAGAGCUGCUCUGCUGCCUGACCUGGCAAUGUCAUGGGUCCUCUGGGCACCGGCGCAGUUGGGUGGGAUCAGCUUUGGCCAGCAGGUUGGGGACAGGUGGGUAAAUCCUCCUCCCUCUAUGCUGUCUCCGCUUUCCUCCUCCUGCCCGGCUUCCCUGUCUUUACCCCACUCUGGCUCCCAGGGUUGCACUGCUCAGAAAGCUGUCGCUGCCGGGCUGCUCGCAGGCCUGAUUUUCUUGGGAGCCUGGGCUCCCAAAGAAAAGACCCUGACCAGCCCUCCCACCCACCACCCACACCGCCAACCAGCUAGCCAGCAACCAGGCCAGGAGUGAUCAGGAGGGGCCCACCCGGCCACCCACCCGGCACCUCCAGCCAGACAGCUCUGCCCACUCAGGGCCGUGAGCUGGAGGUGCCAGGAGCCUUCCGGGAGGCGGUGUGAGGCAUUCUUCUUAAUAAGUCCCGCAUCAAUGAUAAAGGGCCGUAUCAACCCCUCGCUGAUGUGCAGUGAGUGAUAAACGUUUAAUUUAUCUCGGGAACUGGGCGUAAGUUAUAAAAAUGGUAAUUUCUUGGAGAUUCAA